CCGGCACGGGUGAGUAACACGUAUCCAACCUGCCGUCUACUCUUGGACAGCCUUCUGAAAGGAAGAUUAAUACAAGAUGGCAUCAUGAGUUCACAUGUUCACAUGAUUAAAGGUAUUCCGGUAGACGAUGGGGAUGCGUUCCAUUAGAUAGUAGGCGGGGUAACGGCCCACCUAGUCUUCGAUGGAUAGGGGUUCUGAGAGGAAGGUCCCCCACAUUGGGACUGAGACACGGUCCAA
rnacentral:rRNA from 1 species